rnacentral:rRNA from 1 species
AUUGAACGCUGGCGGAAUGCUUUACACAUGCAAGUCGAACGGCAGCACGGACUUCGGUCUGGUGGCGAGUGGCGAACGGGUGAGUAAUGUAUCGGAACAUGCCCAGUCGUGGGGGAUAACGUAGUGAAAAUUACGCUAAUACCGCAUACGAUCUAUGGAGGAAAGCGGGGGAUCGCAAGACCUCGCGCGAUUGGAGCGGCCGAUAUCAGAUUAGGUAGUUGGUGGGGUAAAGGCCCACCAAGCCAACGAUCUGUAGCUGGUCUGAGAGGACGACCAGCCACACUGGAACUGAGACACGGUCCAGACUCCUACGGGAGGCAGCAGUGGGGAAUUUUGGACAAUGGGCGAAAGCCUGAUCCAGCCAUUCCGCGUGCAGGAUGAAGGCCCUCGGGUUGUAAACUGCUUUUGUACAGAACGAAAAGGUUUCUACUAAUACUAGGAGCUCAAGACGGUACUGUAAGAAUAAGCACCGGCUAACUACGUGCCAGCCGCCGCAGUAA